UCAUCAGUAUCAGAAAUGAAAAGAGGAAGAAGGUGAAGAUGGCGGCGGCAAGGGCUGGGGCCCUGGGAGUCCGAUGGCUGCAAAGGGCAGGUUGGAAUGUUGUGCCGUUGGGUACACGGACAGCCUCCAACAUGACCAAGGACAUGCUCCCGGGACCCUAUCCUAGGACACCAGAAGAACGGGCCGCCGCCGCAAAGAAGUAUAAUAUGCGUGUAGAAGACUAUGAGCCUUAUCCAGAUGAUGGCAUGGGGUAUGGUGACUACCCAAAGCUCCCUGACCGCUCACAGCACGAGAGGGAUCCAUGGUAUGACUGGGACCACUCAGACCUGAGGUUGAACUGGGGUGAACCGAUACACUGGCACCUAGACAUGUAUAUCAGGAACCGUGUGGACACGUCCCCCACACCUGUUUCUUGGAAUGUCAUGUGUAAGCAGCUCUUCGGCUUCCUGGCCUUCAUGAUAUUCAUGUUCUGGGUUGGGGAGAAGUAUCCCUCCUACCAGCCUGUGGGGCCAAAGCAGUACCCUUACAAUGAUUUGUACCUGGAACGAGGCGGCGAUCCUACCAAAGAACCUGAGCCGGUGGUUCACUAUGAGAUCUGAGGAGGCUUCAUGGGCUUUUAUGCCUUCUAACUAGGACUCCUUCAUUCCUAGAAAUUUAACCUUAAUGAAAUCCCCUAAUAAAACUUAGUGCUGUGGUAAAAAAAAAAAAAAAAAAAAAA